ACCCCAUCUUCCUGCCAUGGCAAAAGUUUAGUUAUUGGGUUUCUGAAAUUUCCCAACACUCGAUCCCUAAGUCCAGUGUCAGUCACCUCACAAAACCUACUGGCCCAAUCCGGUGGCUCAACGGCCCUAGUCCCCAACCCGGGGACACGAUCCUUGGACCCAACAUUCUGUUCAUCCUGCCAAUCAGCCACAUAAGUAGCCACCCUCCGGUAAAAUUUCUCCUUGAACACC
rnacentral:misc_RNA from 1 species